UUUCGAGAGAUUAGAGAAUAUAAAGUUUCAGUUUCAGCCAUCUGAACCAGACUUGUUAUGGAAUAGCUAAUACUUCAAUUGUGGUUGUAGUAAAUAUUAGCCACUAGAUCAAGAGGUUGAACUACAAAUUGAGAUGUAAAAUAUUAAUCUCAAAUGCCUGGACGACUUCAGGAGCCCACACAACCUCCAGUGAUUGGUUUUAGGCGCAGACAAAAAGACCGUUAAGGAGUUUCAGGCAACGGAAAGCUCGUCAUCGCUGGUACCUUGUUCGGGUCGAGUUACACGAAGUCAGGGAUGAUGAAAUGGCCUAGAAAUUGCACCUGUGAUUAGAGAAAUUUAAUUUUUUCUACGUUGAGAACUAGGCCACUGUUAAGGAAGCGUUGACAAAUGCGAGAUGCAAAUCUCGGAUUCGGUGGAGAAGACGAUCGGAACAUCAAGUAGACGAAACAGAGGUCCAAGUUUCGUAGUACAGAAUCUCUGGAUGGUUUGUGCAGAUAUGCAAAGACCUAAAGUUAUUCCUGUGAACUCGAAGAGUCUGAAAGUGUGCAAGUUGCUGCGAGAUUUGGUGGAAUGUCUUGGCGAGAUCAUCGGUCGAGAAAGCACGAAAGUUUGCUAAGUAAUGCACAAAGUCUCGGAUGAGAGUGAUCGGGUACCGGUGGGGAACCGUAUGCGCAUUCAGGCGUCUGUAAUCUCUACAAGACCGCCAUUAGGCUUUGGGACCAAAUGGAGUGGAGAUGACCAACAGUUGUUGGAAGACCUUGCUAAAGAAGUUGUUCAAACUCUUUCUGCGCAACAGCGAGCUUCUGGGGUGAGAAAGGACGUAGCUUUGAGAAGACGGGGAAGCCAGUGGUGUUACUGUAGCGGUUAACAUCAUGGUUAAUAUAACUGGCUGAGAUAUACUAACCAUUACGUUAUGUUGCCAUGUUAAAGUAAAUUUGCUCCACACGUUUUCUCCAAUUCAAUAUUCCUAAAUUUUCCAUAACUAAGCCCGUCAUUUUUACAUGUCAUUUAAAAGCUAACGUAAUGAGUCAAAUUUUGCCAACUUUGCAGUUUUGUAAAUUUAAAGCACCGCUACAAUAAUGCAUAUUGGAAUUUGGAUAAAAAUCCGAUUCUGAAAUUUCCUUGAACUUUGAACAGUUAUAUUUUCGAAGUGAUGAUGAUCUUUGCAAUUGAAAAAAUAUACAUUUAUAAGAAAUUUUAUAUAGCUUCCGAAAAUGGUACCAAAUCUGGGAUGAAAUGAUUAAAGGAAUGGGUAAUUGUGAUUUUUUGACACUAUUCACGAAAGCGGUAAAACUCUGUAACAAUAAAAGAUAGAAUCCUCAUUCCA